ensembl:lncRNA
CAGAGAGAAGCAGAGAAGCCAAAACUGGAAUAGGAGAAGAAUCGCAAAGGUGACAGUAAGAGGUAUUGCUUCUUAUUUUAUGGAAGAAAUCUUCCAGUUGUUGGGAAGACAAUCAGUGAAGCUGAAAAAAAGAAAAAUAAAUAAUCCCAGAAGCCAGAAUUUCUUUUCAUGUUUUCUACAUCACAGAAUCAAAAAGACCUUUGCUUUGAGAUUCCUUUUGUCCUGAGGAGAAGUAGAUUUUGUGGAAUGAGAAUGUAGCCUUAGGGCAUGCAGCAUCCCUCCCCUACUCCAUCCAGUGCAAAAACUCUCAUCACAGAAACAGGAGUAAGGAAUCAGCUCUUUGAAGACUUACAUCUGGAACGAAAAU